rnacentral:rRNA from 1 species
GAGUAAUGUCUGGGAAACUGCCUGAUGGAGGGGGAUAACUACUGGAAACGGUAGCUAAUACCGCAUAACGUCGCAAGACCAAAGAGGGGGACCUUCGGGCCUCUUGCCAUCGGAUGUGCCCAGAUGGGAUUAGCUAGUAGGUGGGGUAACGGCUCACCUAGGCGACGAUCCCUAGCUGGUCUGAGAGGAUGACCAGCCACACUGGAACUGAGACACGGUCCAGACUCCUACGGGAGGCAGCAGUGGGGAAUAUUGCACAAUGGGCGCAAGCCUGAUGCAGCCAUGCCGCGUGUAUGAAGAAGGCCUUCGGGUUGUAAAGUACUUUCAGCGGGGAGGAAGGGAGUAAAGUUAAUACCUUUGCUCAUUGACGUUACCCGCAGAAGAAGCACCGGCUAACUCCGUGCCAGCAGCCGCGGUAAUACGGAGGGUGCAAGCGUUAAUCGGAAUUACUGGGCGUAAAGCGCACGCAGGCGGUUUGUUAAGUCAGAUGUGAAAUCCCCGGGCUCAACCUGGGAACUGCAUCUGAUACUGGCAAG